rnacentral:rRNA from 1 species
CCUACGGGAGGCAGCAGUCGGGAAUUUUGGGCAAUGGGCGAAAGCCUGACCCAGCAACGCCGCGUGGAGGAUGAAGGCCCUCGGGUCGUAAACCUCUGUCGGGAGGGAAGAACGGUUGCCGUUCGAACAGGGCGGCAGCCUGACGGUACCUCCAAAGGAAGCACCGGCUAACUACGUGCCAACAGCCGCGGUAAU